AUCGUGCUGUCAAGGACCGGAUUCGUCGACGCAGGGUCUGAGCAUGCACUGCAUCAGGCCUAUCUACUGCUACCUCCGGCUGUCUGCCCUGCUGGCUUCAUCGGACAAAACAAGUCGCAGGAAGCUGUACCACGUGCACUGCACUGGGACCAGCUGACCAGCACGGUGACGUCGACGGAGACAUCGUGGCACCCGGAUAAAAGCAGCAGCCUUUUCGACGUUCCCUUCAGUGGACUUGGAAGCACCGAACGAGCACGGAUGCUGAUCAAAUUUUUUCUGAUCGCACAGUUUCUUCCUCUGGGCUUAAGUGGGACGCUUCUCCAUCAUUGGUGCGAAAGUGCCUCCAGAACCUUCCGGGAUUAUUAGUAAGAAAGCUCGGUAACUUUACAUUAAAAUAAUAUUCUUUUGCUCGUUUGGCUGCAAGCUUGAAUUACACGAUGGCAUUAGGAAGUUUCGUCACCCUGGAUUCGUCUCCUCCUUUAAUUUUUAUUGUUCUACGCAGUCUUUUCAGACGGCGCUUUGCCUGAAUUACUUCUUGGGUUAUCCAGGGAUUAUUUUUUGGCGGCCGCUUGGUUUUAGUGGGCACGUAGUUUGUGACGCAGUAGAGGACGAUAGAUUUGUACUUAUACUCGCCUAUUAUAC